UGGUCUAUUGAUUAAAAACUUAGCUAAAAUUAUGAUUAGCUUAGAUUUGGGUUGCUAUAAAACAUACAUAAUAAGGCUUAAGACAUUGUGGACACGAACACUAAAUGAACUCUGUGUAUGAACUGUGUUAUACAAAUAAACUUGCCUUGCCUUGCCUUGCCUAAAUAAAAUAUUUGCCUGAUGAUGGAAAGAUAAAAUACUACAUGUGCAAGAAAUAACACUAAAAGCAGUAAUGCAGCCUUCUUACAGAUUGGUUUAUGGAUUUUUAAUGAACUUCCUCCUUUAGACACAGAAAUCCAUUUCUUUCAACAUUGUCUAAAACUGGUUCUGCUGCUUUCAUCACCAUAUCCUUGUUGUUUUUUAUAAAUGUGGGCAAGUCCUAGACAUAAAAGGGAGUGUUGCGCUUCUCUUCAUUUUAAAAGACUUGCUCUGGGUAAUCGUUGCAGUCUUCUGGUAAAGAACAAGACAUUGUUUGGAAGCAGGCUCGCAAUCAGACUCGAAGAGCGAUUAUGACCAUUGAGGAAGGAGAGGAUGAUGGAGAGGAUGAUGAAGAGGAAGCAGAUAUGUUUUGCUAUUGAUAAGGUUUGCUCCCAGGGGCGGACCCGGAAGAUCAACCAAUAGAUCAGUUGCAGCCAUGAUAUGGUUGAGCUGUGCAUCUUCAGGAAAAAACUCCAUGGCAGUUGACUCUGGUACUUUCCAAAAAUGAAGACACAGCUUUUGUGACUUUUUUAAGUGGGGAUCGUGCAUGGUGUUAUUUGCCAUGUUACAAUAAUGUCUGCUGAUGUUUCGGUAGGCUGCAUUAAUUGGUUUCAUAUACUGGAACUGAUUUACAAAUGUGGCUUACACAAAAAAAAAAAAACAACAGAUGGGCUUGUAUAUUAUCCAUUGAUUAAGGAAUAGAUUUAGCUCCAAUGUUGAUUUCUAGUAUAACCUAAAGUAAGUUCUACUCAGAGUAAAUCAUGCAAACACAUAAAUGUUAAACUAUUUAAUACAGUAUAUCAGGAAAUAUACAAGCCUAAAAUAUGUUGGCCAAUUUGCACAAAUGACUUUAUGCAUUAUGUGGAAAUGGUUACUUACUGCUCAUGAUUGAGCCAGUAAUUGUGGAUGACGUACCUUCAUGUCUAGCAUUUCUAUAUUGUGUUUAUGGUAGAAGGAGUCUCUCAUUAACUGUACAGUAUCAUUUUUUAAUAAGGGUAUUACUAUACUUAAAACUGUAAUAAUUAGAGAUAUAUGUCUUAACAGUUGAAGGGUUUGUACCCGAUUAAUAUAAUCAACAAUUGUGUCUUAUGUUCAUCAUAAACAACAACUUGUAAUAGUGGUCACUGCAACAGAUUACACUAGUACUUGCAAUGAAGCAGCAACCUGUCUGUGUGUUAAGAAUAACUGUUGCAAUGGCCAUGUAUGUACUGUAUAAGUAUUGAUAAAUAGAGUUAUGGAGAAAAGGAAAAUCUACUCUAUAUAUAUUGUGUGAGUAUUUAGCGUAUAGAUUUAUCACUCCAUAAUAUUAUUUUCAGCAAUACCCCAUAUUCAAUCAUUUACAUGUAUGAUGUAUAAUUUAUACAAUUAACAUGAUUUAUAUCAUGAAAAAUAAUGAAUGUUUUAAAUGUACAAAUUAAUUUUGAUUAUAGGCAAAACAUUCAAAACAGUAAUCUAUUGGUAUAUUUUUCCGCAAUUUACUUGGUUUUUGUAACAGGGGCCUUUCUAGAUUGGUUUAUUUGUUUAUUAUUGAUUGUAAAAAAUAUGCACAAAAAAAGGAAACCAUCACAUUCCAGGCGAAAACCUAAAUAAGCCAAUCAUUAUAAUAGUCAUGUAUAUCACACAAACAUCAUUGACAAACAUCAAUUCCUUUUUUUAAUGUGCAUGUGAAUUACAAGCAUAACCUGAUUAAUUUUAAAAUGCCAUUCUAGAUAGGGUUACAUAGGAAACACCCCAUAAUAAAAGAAGAGAGGAUAUGACAGUCUACUGAAUCUGGAAUUGAUUUAAUCUUUAUGUAAAUGCUUCCAUGUUCUAAAAUAAAUGUUAAUGUCCUUUCAA